rnacentral:lncRNA from 1 species
CUCCGGCGGGAACACCAGCUUGCUGAGGUCGAAGUCGAGGUAGUUCCACGACAGGUCCACCUUGCCGAUGGGCCGGCCGGCGACGAACAGGUGGGAGGGGUCGCCGGUGAGCUUGUUGUGGGAGAGGUCCACGGUGUUGAUCUCGUCGUGGGCGUCGUCGCGCGGGAUGGGCCCCGUCAGCUGGUUGUAGGACAGGAUCAGCGACCGGAACUGCCCCUGCACCAGCCCCGCCGGGAUGGUGCCCGUCAGCUGGUUGUGCCGGAG